UCUCAUUUGCAUGCGGCGCGGAGCCGCGGCCGUGCCGGAGCCAUGUCGGCGGUGCCCCGGGGCUGCGGCGGGGCCCCGCGGGGCCGGGCCGGCGAGAAGCAGUGCUCAUGGGCUUCCUACAUGACCAACUCCCCGACCCUGAUCGUGAUGAUCGGGCUGCCCGCCCGUGGCAAGACCUACAUGUCCAAGAAGCUCACCCGCUACCUCAACUGGAUCGGGGUGCCCACCAAAGUGUUUAAUUUAGGGGUGUACCGGCGCGAGGCGGUGAAGUCCUACAAGUCCUACGACUUCUUCAGGCACGACAACAAGGAAGCCAUGGAAAUCCGCAAACGAUGUGCCUUGGUGGCUCUGGAAGAUGUGAAGGCUUAUCUGCUGGAGGAGUGUGGGCAAAUAGCUGUGUUUGAUGCCACCAACACAACUCGAGAGCGGCGGGACCUGAUCUUAAAUUUUGCUAAGGAAAAUGCUUUCAAGGUGUUUUUUGUGGAGUCUGUCUGUGACGAUCCAGAGGUCAUCGCUGCCAAUAUCCUGGAGGUGAAAGUUUCCAGCCCCGACUACCCAGAGAGACACCGGGAGAACGUGAUGGACGAUUUCCUGAAGAGGAUAGAGUGCUACAAGGUCACCUACCAGCCUCUGGAUCCUGAUGCUUAUGACAAAGAUCUUUCCUUCAUUAAAGUGAUCAAUGUGGGCCAGCGGUUCCUGGUAAACAGAGUCCAGGAUUACAUCCAGAGUAAAAUCGUCUAUUACCUAAUGAACAUUCAUGUCCAGCCACGCACCAUCUACCUUUGCCGACACGGUGAGAGUGAAUAUAAUCUUGUUGGCAAGAUUGGUGGGGAUUCUGGUCUGUCACCUCGUGGGAAGCAGUUUUCCCAAGCACUGAGGAAGUUCAUCGAGGAGCAGGAGAUUGUGGAUCUGAAGGUGUGGACGAGCCAGCUGAAGAGGACGAUCCAGACGGCCGAGUCGCUGGGGGUCCUGUACGAGCAGUGGAAGAUCCUCAACGAGAUUGAUGCUGGGGUCUGUGAAGAGAUGACCUACGCAGAAAUCGAAGCCAAGUAUCCAGAUGAGUUUGCAAUGAGGGAUCAAGAGAAAUAUCUGUAUCGUUAUCCUGGAGGCGAGUCCUACCAGGACUUGGUCCAGCGCCUGGAGCCAGUAAUUAUGGAGCUGGAACGACAAGGCAACGUCCUCGUUAUCUCCCACCAGGCAGUUAUGAGGUGCCUGUUGGCUUAUUUUCUUGACAAGAGUGCAGAUGAGCUGCCCUACCUGCGCUGCCCCCUGCACACCAUCCUCAAGCUCACUCCUGUUGCCUACGGUUGUAAAGUGGAGACCAUCACCCUGAAUGUGGAAGCAGUGAACACCCACCGUGACAAACCCUCCCUGAACUCAAGCAAGCUCCCCAGCAGCCAGAGCCCCGUCAGGACGAGGAGGAACAGCUUUACCCCGCGGGCCAGCGCGGACACGGUAAAGCGCCCGCGGCAUCACAGCGUUGGGAGCAAACCUCUCGACCUGCUGGGGCCCUUUCCAUCCCUGGAAGCUCGAGAUGGGGCUGACCAGCUGCAGCUGGAAGUCAGUGUCCAGGUGGUACUUUCCCUAUGCUCCCCCUCCCCACUGUCACCCGAGGCUGUGCGUGGUCCUCUCUGAAGUCCAGACCGUUCCCGGGGUGUUGAGCACUUUCUCUGCAUGGAAAUCAUCCUGGAUUGGACUCCCUUAAGAAAAAAAAAUCACACACACAUUUCCCCCUACUUAAAAUGUGAAAUUCUCCCCCCAUGAAACUAAAAUUCUGGUGCCACAGGCUUUUAGAAUCAGGCUCUGUGCAGGCAGGUUUCCAUCAGUGCCACAGGGUGGUUAAUUCUGGGUAGUAUCUUACUUUCUGGCUAAAACCUGAUUGGAAGGAGUUACAAAUACCCUCUUUGUCCUGAUUUUUUUUUUUUUACUUCAGCCAAGUGUUGCUCCAGCCCCUGACCCUGAGCGCCUUGGUAGGAAAAUCUUUGCCUCUGUGAUUUUGUUGGUGCCCAUUUCCCUGCAGAUCCCAACGUCAGCAGCUCCUUGAGCAAAGUCCGGGCCCUCUGGGUGCCCAAAUUGCAGCAGUUUGAGGUUAUAAAAUAAUCCUGGAUAUUUUGGAGGUUAGAGUUUUCCAAGCCCUUCAGUGAGCCCAGCUUCUUGUUCUCCUCCCUGUUAGCAGAGUAAGAGCCCAGGGAGUAAAGGAAGGGGUGGUACAACACCAGUGUUGUCCUACUUGGAGAGGCUUGACUGUCCUGGCAUCUCUUGCCUGAGUGGAGCCCUUGGGAUGAGCAGUCCAGGUGCUGCAGCCCACAAUGUCCAUGCCCUAUAUCAGCUCCUGCUGUGAUAUAAGCCUGCCCUGGGCUAAAAUGAAAUUUUGGGAAUUCUUCCACUUCUUCCCUCCUUUGCUUUGCUGCUUUUACUAUUUAAAUCUCCUCUCAAACGCACUGUGAGCUCUCCUGUGCUUCUCUCUUUCCUUUGCAGCCUCCAGUGGGAAAUGCUUCCCCCUGAGAACCACUGAAAGCAGCUUGUGUUUGCUCUCUUUUGGAGAAUGGCCAGUUUAACAGUCUAGAGGUGUGUGCUUUCCCCUUGGAUUCUGCUGGGAAUUCCAUGGCCAGGAGGAGCCCUGGGACUGGAGCAUCCCCGGAGCACAGUGAGCCAUGAGCCCCUUCGGCCAGUACUCGCCUUGAACUGGGUUUUUAGAGCCUUGUCUGUGUCUUUUCUUUCCAAAUGCUGGAAUGUCUGUCCAUAAGAUGGGAGAAAAUUCAUUAUGGAGCUUUCUCAAGCUGCUUUUAAUGAGCCAAUGUAUCCCUGGGGUUUUGGGGGCGUUAAAAUAGUGCCCCAUGUCUUUCCUCCUGGUUAGAAUGCCAAAAUUAACCACAGUGUGAUGACAAAAUAGUCAUGUUCUUACUGGCUGAGGCAGCUUUUCUUUGGAAGAGGCACUACCAGACCAAAUCCCCAUUUCCAAGUUUAAACACAAUUACUGUGUUAUUCAACCAUCCAAAGUGCUCCAGUUUAACUUUGUUUCCAGGACUGCUGAUGUGAGUCCCUCAAUCCGAGCCUCCUCCUUUGCUUGGGAUGUAACACACAGCACAUCCCAUUUCCAGGUCAGCACAUCCCACGGGAUGCCUCCCGUGAGGGACAGAUGGGAAUAAAACCUCCUGUCCCUCUCUGGAAGCAGCACAGCUACCAGUGCUCUUAAAUCCCACCUCAAGCCCUACUUUAGCUUUCCAUCCUGACCUAAACCUCGUUUUCUCUCUCAUUUUUCCUGCGUUUUGUGGAUGGUUUAUCCCAAAAACCAGGAGCAUGCCUGUGCUUAGUGACAGGGAGCAGUGGAGCCCCUGGGCAGGGUUUGCAGGAAGCACAAGAUUUUUACCAGUUGGUUUUUUAAUGUACCAAAUUUUAGGCCCCCAACAAGCUUUUAACUUGCCUGUGAAUCAGCUGUGAAUGUUACCCAUGUCUAAUGCCUUUCACACAUUUUAAGCUGGUUUUUAGUGUUUGCAGCUGUGUUUGACUUAAAUCCCCACCAAACCCCAAAUUUGUAGUUUUCUCCCUCAAGUCUUGACUUCCAUUUUGCCAAACUCCAUUUUGCCCCACUCCAGCUGUUCUUGCAAUAAGGGCAAAACCCUCAGGUUGGGUGAAGAAAGGAGCGUUUGGGUACAGAGCAGGAGGCUGUUCUGGACCUGCUGUUUGCAGUUGGCUCCAGGAUUUAUCUGAGCAAUUCUGGGAUGCAGAAGUUGCUUAUUUUAAAUGUGUCAAUAAAUGCUGGACAUACCCUUAAUAGGGAAUCUGUGCCCUGGCUUUUGGGGGGAGCUCAGCAGCCCCAAAGCCUGAGGCUUACCUGAGCAUUUUGAGCUCAAACCUGGUUGUUUUAAGCACUCCCAGAGCUUUAAUUUGAUACACCUGAGUUAAAGAGGACCAAGGCACUAAUCCUGACCCCCUUAGGAUUCCUGAGGAGCAGAAGCACGUGUUAAUCUGAAGCAAUUGUGCCACAGAGAGAGGAAAUUUCGGCGGUGAGAGAUUGAAUUUUAGUGGUUUUGCUCCUCAGGCUUUUUCCCCCCAGGGGGCAGGUUUGCUUCAGCCAUGUGGCCUUGGAUUUUAAACUUUUUUUUUUUUUUUGGUGCUUAGAAAUAAGCCAGAAAAAAAAAAAAAGAGAGAUAAAAUGUUGAAGGAAGAGAUUUAGAGCCUGUCCAUGAUAGUUGUUGCUGUCACACUCCAAAAAGCUCGAAACGCACAAACCUGCCCGUGUCAGGCUGGCAGAUCCGACCAAAAAAAAUAAAACAAAAAACACCUCCUGCUCUGUGGGGAAAAAAAAAGGAGUAGAAAAUGUACUGUAGGAUCUUUACGCACAAUAUGCUGUGACAACUUGCUAAAGAGUUAAUUAUGUUUGUUAUUGUUGAGUAGUUAAUGAUUGUAAGGAGACAAAAAUCUAUAUUUUUACCUGCCUGGGAUUUGUGAGUGUCGCUGUUCUUGUGUUGGUGGUCGUGGCUGUUUUUUUGGUUUUUUUUUAAUCACUGCUAAAAAAAUCAGGGCUGUAGUUUGGAUCAGUGGCUGUGGGGAUCCCUUAUUCCCAUCAAGUGGAUCCUUGUUUUGGCCGUGGGAUGGAGCUUCAUCCUCCUCUGCUGACAGCAGUGUUUGUGCCUUGGUGCUUUAAUUAAAACCUGACUCGAGCCUUUUCCUCCUGCAUUGUAGCCCUGGAAAGGUGUGUGUUUUUAAAAUUCGGGUGUCCAGAGCAGAGCAGCAGCAGAUUCGUGGUCAGAUCACUGCCCUGAGGGUGAAUCAUACCUGCCCCACGCCAGGUCCUGCCGAGCCCUGAGUGCAGGGCUGGGGUGAUGCCAGGGAGCCCACGUGUCUCCUGGCAGGUGCCUGUGCCAGGUGUUUCCUUAAAAUCACAUGGCUUCCUUGGAAUUGUGUGUGCAAAUACCCCAGAUAAACAACAAUUGCACAAUGGGGUUGGGUUUUAUUCGAUAUUCUUGACUGAACAGGAUUUAGCAGCAGCUCGUGCUGUCAGUGGGACCAGAGCUGGUGUCGUGGGCUGGGCAGGUGGAGCUGGUGGAUUUGGGAGGUGUGAAUGUUGGCCUGGCACCUUGGAGAGCAUUUUAUCAUGGGGAGGGUGGUGUUUCUGCAAGCCUGUGAUUUUUCUGUCCACAUGUUUCUAGCAGUGGAGGUGGUGGUGCCUGCUGUCACCUUCAGUGAGCAGUGGCAGGGCCACCCGUGGGACUAGCGGGUCACUGCAGAGAAAAACAUUCACUCUGCCAAAACCUGCUCCCUCUCUCCUGCCAGCAGCGGGGAAAACUGUUAAAUAGGCUGAAAAGGCUUAAACCCAGCCUUGGGUAGCUUCUUUGUGUACACUGGCUGUGACCUUGGAGCUGCCACCUCUGCCAGGCGUCCCCUUCCCGGCAGCGGGCGAUGAGGAAGCCUGGCCCCGGUGCCAAGGGGACAAGGAGCAGCUGUGGGAUGAGAGGCAUCAGCAGCAGCGUGGCCAGGACCCACCUUCCCUGGGGAGAUGUCCCCAACCCUCGCCCCUGUGCCCCUCUGGAAGGUGCUGGGGGAGCAGUGCCGGUGCCACCUCCCCCUGUCCCCGCCGCUCCUCGGGCCCCCAGCACUGUUUGCAGGCUGCCUCUGUAUUUAGUGUUUGCUGAUGUGGAUGUUACCCAUCUGCUUGUAAACUUUCCUGCUCUGCUGCCUUCUAAUGUGUUUUUUUUAUAUUAGGUUUAAAAAGCUGCAGUGUGUGUCAGCUUGUGCUGUAUGUUGUGUGCUCUGUGCACUUGGGCAGAAAGAGCCAUCAGCCUUUAUUUACAAUAAAGAGACUUAAAAAAACA